AAGUCGUAACAAGGUUUCCGUAGGUGAACCUGCGGAAGGAUCAUUAACAAAUCUGAGAUCGCUAGUUACGAAGUACUUUUUUUUAAAAGUGCUUAGUAUCUAGUGGAUCACAUUGACUCGGGCGCUGCUCUAAUCAUACUUUUUUGUGUGAUUAGUGGGGAUGCCCUGAGACAUACACGCUUGUUUUGUUUGAUAGAGUAACAGGUAACAUUAUAAAUAAUGACAACUUUUAACAAUGGAUCUCUUGGCUCUU
rnacentral:misc_RNA from 1 species